rnacentral:rRNA from 1 species
AGUGGAUGGGGAGCAACCUAGUUGUGCGUGUGUAAAGGUAGUGCCAAGAAAAGCGAUGAUCAUGUUGAAAAUCAAUUCCCGGUACCCGAAACCGACACAGGUGGGCAAGUAGAGAAUACUAAGGGGCGCGAGGUAACUCUCUCCAAGGAACUCGGCAAAAUGACCCCGUAACUUAGGGAGAAGGGGUGCCACCGAGAGGUGGUCGCAGUGAAGAGGCCCAGGCGACUGUUUAGCAAAAACAUAGGUCUCUGCAAACUCGAAAGAGGAGGUAUAGGGGCUGACGCCUGCCCAGUGCCGGAAGGUUAAAGAAGUUGGUCAGUCUUAGGAUGAAGCUAGCGACUGAAGCCCCGGUGAACGGCGGCCGUAACUAUAACGGUCCUAAGGUAGCGAAAUUCCUUGUCGGGUAAGUUCCGACCCGCACGAAAGGCGUAACGAUCUGGGCGCUGUCUCGGAGAGAGGCUCGGCGAAAUAGGAUUGUCUGUGAAGAUACGGACUACCUGCAUUUGGACAGAAAGACCCUAUGAAGCUUUACUAUAGCUUGGAAUUGUGUUCGGGCUUCCUGUGCGCAGGAUAGGUGGGAGGCGUAGAAGGUAUUCUUGUGGGGAUACUGGAGCCAACGGUGAGAUACACUCUCAGGAGGCUAGAAUUCUAACUUAAUUAAGGACAGUUUCAGGUGGGUAGUUUGACUGGGGCGGUCGCCUCCAAAAAGGUAACGGAGGCGUACAAAGGUUCCCUCAGACUGGUUGGAAAUCAGUCGAAGAGUGCAAAGGCAGAAGGGAGCUUGACUGCGAGAAGUACAGUUCGAGCAGGGUGGAAACACGGUCUUAGUGAUCCGACGGUGCUGUGUGGAAGGGCCGUCGCUCAACGGAUAAAAGUUACUCUAGGAUAACAGGCUGAUCUCCCCCAAGAGUUCACAUCGACGGGGAGGUUUGGCACCUCGAUGUCGGCUCAUCGCAACCUGGGGCGGAAGUACGUCCCAAGGGUUGGGCUGUUCGCCCAUUAAAGCGGUACGUGAGCUGGGUUCAGAACGUCGUGAGACAGUUCGGUCCAUAUCCGAUGUAGGCGUGAGAAUAUUGAGAGGAGCCUUCCUUAGUACGAGAGGACCGGGAAGGACGCACCGCUGGUGUACCUGUUAUGAUGCCAAUUGUAAACGCAGGGUAGCCAAGUGCGGAUAGGAUAACCGCUGAAAGCAUCUAAGUGGGAAGCCCACCUCAAGAUGAGUAUUCUGGUGUAAGGUCACGGGAAGACGACCCGUAAAUAGGCACGAGGUGGAAGUGCAGAGAUGUAUGAAGCCGAAGUGUACUAAUAGACCGUCGGCUUGAC